AUUGAACGCUGGCGGCAGGCCUAACACAUGCAAGUCGAGCGGAAGAAGGGAGCUUGCUCCUGGAUUCAGCGGCGGACGGGUGAGUAAUGCCUAGGAAUCUGCCUGGUUGUGGUGGAUAACGUCCGGAAACGGGCGCUAAUACCGCAUACGUCCUGAGGGAGAAAGUGGGGGAUCGUUGGACCUCACGCGAGCAGAUGAGCGUCGGUCGGAUUAGCUAGCUGGUGGGGUAAAGGCCUACCAAGGCGACGAUCCGUAACUGGUCUGAGAGGAUGAUCAGUCACACUGGAGCUGAGACGCGGUCCAGACUCCUACGGGAGGCAGCAGUGGGGAAUAUUAGACAGUGGGCGAGAGCCUGGUCCAGCGAUGCGGCGUGUGUGAAAACGGUCUUCGGAUUGUGAAGCACUUUAAGUUGGGAGGAAGGGCAGUAAGUUGAUACCUUGCUGUUUUGACGUUAACAAGAGAAUAAGCACCGGCUAACUUCGUG
rnacentral:rRNA from 1 species